GCUAGCUGGCUGCUGGAGCGGGC
rnacentral:piRNA from 1 species